UACGAAGGGGGCUAGCGUUGCUCGGAAUGACUGGGCGUAAAGGGCGCGUAGGCGGCUAGAUAAGUCAGGCGUGAAAUUCCUGGGCUUAACCUGGGGGCUGCGUUUGAGACUGUUUGGCUUGAGUCCGAGAGAGGAUGGUGGAAUUCCCAGUGUAGAGGUGAAAUUCGUAGAUAUUGGGAAGAACACCGGUGGCGAAGGCGGCCAUCUGGCUCGGUACUGACGCUGAGGCGCGAAAGCGUGGGGAGCAAACAGG
rnacentral:rRNA from 1 species